rnacentral:rRNA from 1 species
ACGUAGGGGGCAAGCGUUGAUCGGAAUCACUGGGCUUAAAGGGUGCGCAGGCUGGCCCGAAAGCGUCUUGUGAAAUCCCCGGGCUUAACCUGGGAACUGCGUUUGUGACUGUAGGGCUUGAGUGCGGCAGAGGGGGGUGGAAUUCCACGUGUAGCAGUGAAAUGCGUAGAGAUGUGGAGGAACACCGAUGGCGAAGGCAGCCCCCUGGGAUGACACUGACGCUCAUGUACGAAAGCGUGGGUAGCAAACGG